rnacentral:rRNA from 1 species
GGGCCCGCACAAGCGGUGGAGCAUGUGGUUUAAUUCGAUGAUACGCGAGGAACCUUACCAGGGCUUAAAUGUAAGUUGCAUAGAUCAGAGAUGGUCUUUUCUUCGGACUACUUACAAGGUGCUGCAUGGUUGUCGUCAGCUCGUGCCGUGAGGUGUCAGGUUAAGUCCUAUAACGAGCGCAACCCCUGUCGUUAGUUACCAGCAAGUAAUGUUGGGUACUCUAGCGAGACUGCCGGUGCAAACCGUGAGGAAGGUGGGGAUGACGUCAAAUCAUCACGGCCCUUACGUCCUGGCUACACACGUGCUACAAUGGCCGGUACAGAGAGCAGCAAGCUAGCGAUAGUAAG